UGUGGGGACAGGCCAGCAACUCUGGAGAGAAGAGCACAUGUAGGACACGGACAUGGACCCAGGGCCGGUGCCCUUGACCCCACCCCACGUGCUGAACAGAGGCGGCCGUGCUGGGCAGGGGCCCGGGUCCCCGAGUGCUCAGCAGUGGGGGGACUCCUCCGUGGGCCAGCAGACAGCCCUUUUGGUGGGAGGGUCGGAGGAGACGGAGGCCCUAUGAAGGCGGCCUGUUUUCAGGGCCAGGGAACUUCCCUGUGGGCGCCAGACAAAGGCAGCCUGGGCCCUCCCGACGCCAUCUCUGCUCGGCCCCCGUGGGCGCCCCCGGCCACCCACCGUCACUGGUCACACACACAGGUGUGGUUCGCUUGGUUCAAGAGUGUGUCUUUGUGGGGAAGAGACCUGCCCUUGACCGAGACGUGCCUUCUUCCUGGGCGUGGUCUCCGUCACGGGGUUCAUCUCAUGGGCUUCAGUUUUCUUACCUAGAAAGCGUGAAUCAUCACGCUCAGUCUUAGACUGCGGAGAGGCUCAGGUGUGCCCUGUGUGGCCCAUCAGCGGUGCUGAUUCCUCAGCCAGCGCCGUGGCCUGGGCCCCUUGGGGAAGGGUCUGCGUGUGGGGAAGGGUCCUGCGGGGAAGGCUCUCUCGGGACUCAGGACCCCGUGGAGUCAGACCAGUGGAGGAGGCCGAGCAGUCCUGCUGCCCGAGGUCCCCUCGAGUCCAGGGCGUUUGGGGGGGAGGAUGGCGGCGUCUUUUCCCCGAGCUGAGUCCCAGGCCAGCAGCGUCGGGUCGGGAACGUCCAGUUGGGAGGAUCGGGUCUGGACACGUGCAUCUGGAGGAGCACAGGUGAGAGGGGAGCUGGUGGGAACAGGUGGUUGUGCAGGAGGGAGGGUCCUGGGUGAGGACGCGGCUGAGGACAGGCCCUGGGACCCACACAGUGACUGUGGUGGGGACAGCAUCCGCCACAGAGCGCUGGGGACAGGCCCCGCGAGAGGAGGAGCCCACCCCAGGGUCCCAUCCACGCGGCCCCCGCCGGAGCCCACCCGUCCUCCAGAUGGAAGGGGUGCGGCCGACUGGGGGGGAUGGACUUCUCCCGUGGGCCUUCCUUGGGGGCUCUGUCGGGCUCCCGCUACAAACUCGUCCUCAUCUGGCCUGAAAAGGCCAAGCCCGUCCCACCACUGAGGGUUCGGCUCGUCCGUUUCCUGCUUUAGGGACGGAGGGAGGAGCUGUGAUGACGGGAGUGGAGCUCCGGCCCCAGCUUUUGAUUAAAACGUCAGCAUCGCCGGUCGCCGUGCUGUCAGCCAGUCAUGCGUUUCGGCUUCUUCCUCAACGUUCCUUUCACGUGGUCCCCACGGCAGGUUGACAGCCGCGAGCGGGGGAGCCUGUGCCCGAAUCCCAUGCACAGCACUGUCCCGGGAAAGUCGUCACCCGAGCAGCCGAAGACGGCAUCCCGCUUCUAGACCGAGCGCAGGGCGUUCCCAGCGUGUCUGGGGAAGGGCCGUGGGGACGCUGCUGGGAGGAAGCGGAAGCUCCUUACUGCGCCUUGUGAGGGUCCCUUUGCAGAAGUCCUGCCCGUGUCCCAGGAGGAGGUGGCUCCCUUCCAGCCCCAACGCUGGAGCCCAGGGCCAGCCCUGCACCUGUCCUUGGAGCCCUCGGGUGUCCCUCAGCCACCAAAGCAGGAAUUGGCGUUUCUGUGCAGUCACAGUUCAUGCUCUGUGAGGUGCAGCGGACACGCAUGCACACGGAUGCGCAGCCCUGUGCACACACAGAGCACUCAGUGCACCUGCGCUCAGCAUCACGCAACCUGUGAUGGAAGCGGUUCCUUAGUGACAGGACCUCCGCUUAAGCUUCUGCAUCUUGUUCCCCUAAAUGUCACAAUAAUUUAAAAAUUGUCUCUAGAGCUCACCCUGGCCCUACCUGGAAGUGCCAUCAGCUGGCGUCUCCUGCUCUGCCUCCUGAGUAUGUCCCCUUUUGCUCCUGCAAAAUCCUUCCCCGAGAAUCAGGCCACCACACAGGUGCCGGGUGCUGCUGGACACGGGUUGUCCGAGGUGACUUGGGGCUGAGAUGAGCUGUUUCCUCCUCCUCCGGGGCAGAGCUGCAAGACUGGGAACCUGGGAUGCAGACAGGUGUGCUCGCUGGCUGGGAAGGUCAGAAAGGACAAGCUGCCGUGGGGACGUUUCCUUUCCCGUUUUGCCUGCGGAGCCCCUACUUGUAAUGCGCCACGGACCCGCUAUGGGGACGUUAAGUGUGGCUUAUUCUGAGCGGUUGAUGCCCAGACCCGGGGCACAAUUUCACACGUUCCUCAGGCUCCAGAGCGGGUGUCGGUCCUGCACCCGAGCCUCCCCGGCUCCCCGCCCAGUCCCUCUGGGAGGCAAAGCCAUGUCGUCUCUCUCCUGCACUGUCCUGGAAAUACGCGACCCCAGGUGGGUUUGCUUGUAAAGGCGGUGUGAGGACUGCCUGAAUUCUGGCAGCUGUUUCUGUGUUUUGGACUAAACAGCCCAGGAAGCAAUCAAAUAUCAGGAAAAGGUUUAUCUGACUUGGAAAGGGGAUCCCAGGUCCCCCUCAGGGCCUGGGAGGGAGGAAUGGACCAGCACCCGGAGUUCCCGUCGCGGCUCAGGGUAACGAACCCUACCAGGAUCCAUGAGGAUACGGACUUGAUCCCUGGCCUUGCUCUGUGGGUUACGGAUCUGGCGUUGCCGUGAGCUAUGGUGUAGGUCACAGAUGCGGCUUGGAUUCUGCAGGGCUGUGGCUGUGGUGUAGGCCGCAGUUGCAGCUCUGAUUUGACCCCUAGUCUGAGAUCUUCCAUAUGCCGUGGGUGCAGCCCUAAAAAGACCAAAAAAAAAAGAGAGAGAGAGAGAGAGAGAGAGAAAGGGCUAGUGCUGAGUGGCUGGCAGCACUGACCUUGGGCCCAUCUUCCUGGAGUGAGACUCGGCCACACUCCCUCCAGCAGCUGCUCUGGGUGCGGCCAGAUACCGGCAUCAGCCUUCCGUCAUUCAUGUGUCUAUGGUUUGUGGACCAGAAAAACAAACAAAUACUUCUUUUUAAUAAAACUCACCCU
ensembl:lncRNA